rnacentral:rRNA from 1 species
GAUGAACGCUAGCGGCAGGCUUAAUACAUGCAAGUCAAGGGGGUAGCAAUACAACCGGCGCACGGGUGAGUAACGCGUACACAACAUACCAUAUACUGGAGUAUAGCUUUGGGAAACUGAAGGUAAUCCUCCAUAACAUUGCGAGAGGGCAUCUGAUUGCAAUUAAAGUUUCGGCGGUAUAUGAUUGGUGUGCGUUUGAUUAGCUAGUUGGUAGGGUAACGGCCUACCAAGGCGACGAUCAAUAGCUGGCGUGAGAGCGCGACCAGCCACACUGGAACUGAGACACGGUCCAGACUCCUACGGGAGGCAGCAGUAGGGAAUAUUGGACAAUGGAGGAAACUCUGAUCCAGCCAUGCCGCGUGAUAGAUGAAGGCCCUCUGGGUUGUAAAUAUCUUUUAUCUGGGAAGAAACACUCCUAUUCUUAGGAACUUGACGGUACCAGAGGAAUAAGCAACCGGCUAACUCCGUGCCAGCAGCCGCGGUAAU